CAUCCUCACUGUUGAAAUCAUUUGAUGAGACGGAACUGAUGUCAGUGUCAGGAAGAGGCCCCUUUACAUUUGCCAGAAGCUAAGGCACUGAACAGAGCACUAUUUAAAGCUCCUGUUCCAAGAACUUGUCCUUCAGCAAAUGUCCUGCAUCCCUAGAAGUCUCAAAGGGGGUUAGGAGCUGAGAGAAGGAUGCUAGAGAUCAAGAGGAGCACUUCUGUAAUGGGUUCUGACAGUGUUUAUCAAAUCCACAGCUCUUGCCUUGCUACAUCCCACAGAAAUGAAG